UACUAGAGUAGCACUCGCAUAUCAAUAAGCGGAGGAAAAGAAACUAACAAGGAUUCCCCUAGUAACGGCGAGUGAAGCGGGAAGAGCUCAAAUUUGAAAUCUUAAAGGGUUUCCCUUUACGAAUUGUAGUUUAAAGAAGUGUUUUCUGUUGAGGUUUUGGUAAAAGUUCUUUGGAAUAGGACAUCAUAGAGGGUGAGAAUCCCGUAUUUGACCUUUACUUUCAACUUUGUGAUACACUUUCAAAGCGUCGGAUUGUUUGGGAAUGCAGUCCAAAAUGGGUGGUAAAUUUCAUCUAAAGCUAAAUAUUGGCGAGAGACCGAUAGCGAACAAGUACCGUGAGGGAAAGAUGAAAAGAACUUUGAAAAGAGAGUUAAACAGUACGUGAAAUUGUCAAAAGGGAAGCGUUUGACACCAGUGUUGUUUUUCUGAAAAUCAAUUAAAGAACUGUUUAUGCUAAGCUGUUUAGACUUUAUCAGCUAUCUGUUUAGUUUUGAGCUUUUCUUUAAUGCACUUUUCAGUUAACAAGUCAACAUCAAUUUCUUUUGCUGUAAAAAAGCUUGAGGAAGGUGGCUUGAGAUUCGUCUUAAGUGUUUAUAGCCUCUUGCCUAUGCAGUCGGAGAGAUUGAGGUCUGCAGCGUACAUCCUUCGGGGCUAAAUGCAUUUGUGCUAAGUUAUAGCAUUUUAUAGACAACUUGUUGACUAUGAUUUGUCUUGUAGCUUACUCGCUUAUGUUAUUUUACCUACGCUUAGGAUGUUGAACUACUGAGACAUAGA
rnacentral:rRNA from 1 species